UACGUAGGGUGCAAGCGUUUAUCCGGAAUUAUUGGGCGUAAAGAGCUCGUAGGCGGUUUGUCGCGUCUGCUGUGAAAACUGGGGGCUCAACCCCCAGCCUGCAGUGGGUACGGGCAGACUAGAGUGCGGUAGGGGAGAUUGGAAUUCCUGGUGUAGCGGUGGAAUGCGCAGAUAUCAGGAGGAACACCAAUGGCGAAGGCAGAUCUCUGGGCCGUAACUGACGCUGAGGAGCGAAAGCAUGGGGAGCGAACAGG
rnacentral:rRNA from 1 species